rnacentral:lncRNA from 1 species
GAAAUCAAUACAUAUUCAAAAACUGCAGAGACCGGAGAGGAACUUUCAUUUGUGAAAAUAUUUUUAUUUAUAAAGCAAACUGUCCUAAUCUUUAGUUCAAUUCAGACUAUAGAAUCUGUCUUGAGUUUUGAAAGUCAAUGGUAAAACCUUGAUAUCUACUAAACCACUUAACCAAAAAUUAUGAAACUUUACUAGAGAAUGCACAAUUAUAUUAUCCAUAACUUUAAUUAUAUGGCUCUUCACGGUAAAAAUCACUAAAAUUAAUUAAUCAUUAUAGCAACCUCGAGUGUUGAAUCUGACAACACAAAACUAACAAUACAAUUUAGAAUUUCAUAUCUGAAGUUCUAGCCAACUGAAAAUUAUGAUCUAUACCAAUCUGGAAAGCUUGAUGAAAACUCUAAAACUUUGGUAUUCAUUUGAAGAUCUGAUUAUGCAUCUAAGGUGCCUUAAAACUGAAUAGAUCUAUUACUGUUCAAAAACUUGUCAGAAUAAGUCAGUCAUCUUGGAACUGCUAUAUCUCUUAAACCAUAUGGCUAAAAAUUAUGAUAUAAGACUUCGUGGAAAGUAACUCUGAGUUCUACAAAAACUUCUUUAGGUGGGAAAAUUAAUUCGGGCUCUAACAUGUCCAUAUUUGAUGAGAAACAGAAACUGCCGAUUCUGUCACCCAGCAGUGAUCAAUCACAAGAUCCAUCUCUAAUCCCCCACUAAACCAAUGGAAAAGGAUAAUUAUAGGCCCUAAAUGUCAUCCAAAAACAUGGGAUUAGAUCAAAACCAUCUCACCUUGAUCCUCCAAAAGGCUAGAGUUUGUGCAGCCCCUUUCUCUCCUCCCCUUCUCUUUCUUUGUCUCUUCAUCUCU